GUCCUCCUGGAACAUACGCAAGUAAUGGAAACUGUUAUUUUUGCAUCAGGGGCACAUUUCAGCCAUAUGGCGGACAAACAACAUGUAACAUUUGUCCACCAGACCUUACCACAGAAAGUAUUGGAUCAUAUGAUAUAGCGCAAUGCAACUACAAAAUUGGUACCAUUACAGUUAUCGUAGACUCUGAGGAUAGCGCAUUAACAGAUGCUGGUACUAUUGUAGGUAUAGUGACAGGAAUAGUGACACCCAUUAUAGGCGCUGUG
rnacentral:lncRNA from 1 species